CGGCCCGGGACACAAGAUGGCGGCAGCGGCGCUGGGGAGGGCGAGGCGGAGGCGGCAAAACGGGCGGUCGAGCAGAACGUGUGGCCGCAUCCCCUCGAGUCCGCUUCGAGCAGCUGCUGAUUCACGGAGUCCCCUGGGUCCUUGUCAACUGAACUGCUGACCAGCCCACCCACUUCUGCUGCGCCUUCCUGUGGGCCUCCCCCCUCUUCUGUGGGACCCCGUGACGUGGGUUCAAUCAGCCAGAGAAGAAAACACUCUCAUGCUAGUAUCGCAGACCCCAGAGGGUGAGAGAAAAGGGGACUUUAUUCAGCCUUGAAACCCAUGGGCUCAGCCCCUCAAGAAGCCAUUCCAAACCUUUCUGUGAUCAAGGCUCUUGUGUUACAUGUCCUGUUGCCCUGUGAUUUUUAUCUGCCAAACUGUACAGAUAAAGUAACUAUUUGAUUUUUCCAUUUCCAAAUUAACAGGCGUCUUUGAGUGUUAAAUAAAAUAAACGUUCUAUGAUUCCUAUGAUGUCGUUAACCAGUCAGGACUCCUGAUCAGCUCAAAGAAAGUCUUUGAAUCAGCCUUUGUGGUCUUACUGUGGGGGAAGGUUUCUCAUGGGUUUUGUAACAUAUUAAAAACAACAAACUCCCCAGUCUAAUCUCAGGUGUCCCCAGGGGUGUAAUAGAUCCAGACUAGGAUGGGCCUGGCCUUUGGGGCCUGUCCCAGGUGUGCACAGGGGUAGCAGAGAAUAGAAAGCUGAAGAAACUGGCUUUGUUGCUGCAUUAAGAGUCAGUGUUUGCCUGGGGCUUCUGAAGGACUGAACCAGAUGAUACUCUUUAGUUACACUGCUUCCUUUAGCAUGAGACUGCAACCAGUUAGAGUCCAUGCUUCCUCUUCAGCUGGGCUGGUCCACUGAGACUUUACCUAGUGGGAACAGUAAAACCAUUAUCCCAAGGAAGGCACUGGUCCUCGUAGGAAUGACUUCUCUCUUGUUGGCUGCUCUGGUGCUCUUUAAAUAUAUGCAAGAUUAGUAGAGCUCCUCUUGGGCCCAGGUGGCAUUCUUAGCCUUGGAGACCAAUGCCCUGGACCCAGUCUACUGAGAGUUCCACUGUCGGGUCUAGCCAUCUAGAACUACAAUGCAUUUUCCAUGGCAUUAGAAGAGCUUUGCCCAUCAAACCUGGGCAUGGAGCAGGGGAGAGGGAGGGUGGGGGGAAAGGCUUCCUGGAGAACAUGAGCCCAAGGGCAAGCUAGGCAAUUAGAAGGAUAUACAGUGGGUGCUCCAUUGUACAACAGAGGGGACAACAACUUUAAUCUCAGUGCAUCUGUGGCGUCAGCUGGCCGCUGUCCAGGGCAAGACUGUUGGACUUCUCCAAUCUCUAGAUAAGUCACCAGAGCCCUAGGUUGUAAUUGGUGGGUGGGAUGGAGCUGACACUCUUGGUCCUGUGCGGCAGGUCCCGAGUGGGUGCUGAGAUGGCCAAUGAGAAUCACGGCAGCCCCCGGGAAGAAGCAUCCCUUCUAAGUCACUCUCCAGGCACCUCCAAUCAGAACCAGCCCUGUUCUCCAAAGCCAGUUCGCCUGGUACAGGACCUCCCAGAGGAACUGGUACAUGCAGGCUGGGAGAAGUGCUGGAGCCGAAGGGAGAGCCGUCCCUACUACUUCAACCGAUUCACCAACCAGUCCCUGUGGGAGAUGCCUGUGCUGGGUCAGCACGAUGUGCUUGUGAGUGCCAGUUUGGGGCAAGGGUCUCAGGGCAGGUCUCUCUCCUUCUACAAAUGCUAUCCUGAACAACUAGGCAUCUAGCCGUGCGCUGAUACCUAUAGAUAAAACAUAAAGCAAGUCAGUCUGCCCUCAGACUGGAGAGAGUGACAAGUGUCAGAUUACUAGUGUAGCACUCUGAACCCAGAACACAUUGCAAAUGAGAUGAGCAAGGCUGACUCGCUCCCUUCCUGUUUUUAUGAUAUGCUUGCUCUGUGGUGGACAGCAGGAUUCCAGUUGUAUUGAGCCAGGCAUGGUGCCUACCUUUAAUCCUAGAACUUGAGAGGCAGACGAGAGGCAGGUAGAUCUUUAUGAGUUCUAGGCCAGCUUGAUCUUCAAAGUGAGUCUAGGACAGCCAGGGCUACACAGACAAUCCUGUUUUUAAAAAACUAAAAAAUAAAAAUAUGGUAUUGAAACUCAUUGGGGAUCCUGAUCUGGGGAAGAAGGAAGAGUUCCUCUGAGAAUCAGGGUUUAAAGUAAAGCUAAGUGGGAAAGGAAGGGUGUUAUAGAGUGUUAGUUACCAUAGGGUCAGGCAGCCACCCGAGCUCCUAGACCCCCUCAGUUGGAGCAGGCCUUAUUACCCAUCAGGCAGGGACCUCUCCAGUCCGCAGGUGAAGACACAGGUUCAAAGUAACCAGGCCAAGGCCACAUGGCUGCUUAUAGGCAGAGGGGCAUGUGCAGGAUUC
rnacentral:lncRNA from 1 species